UCCAUGGUGGUCUAGUGGUUAGGACUUGGCACUUUCACUGCCAAGGAUGCAGAUUCAAUCCCUGGUUGAAGAA
rnacentral:tRNA from 1 species